rnacentral:rRNA from 1 species
CGUACGGGAAACCGAGUCUUAACUGGGCGUCUAGUUGCAAGGUGUAGACCCGAAACCGGGUGAUCUAGCCAUGGGCAGGUUGAAGGUUGAGUAACAUCAACUGGAGGACCGAACCCACUAACGUUGCAAAGUUAGGGGAUGACCUGUGGCUGGGGGUGGAAAGGCCAAUCAAACUCGGAGAUAGCUGGUUCUCCCCGAAAGCUAUUUAGGUAGCGCCUCGGACGAAUACUACUGGGGGUAGAGCACUGUUUGGACUAGGGGGUCAUCCCGACUUACCAACUCCAUGCAAACUCCGAAUACCAGUAAGUAAUAUCCGGGAGACACACGGCGGGUGCUAACGUCCGUCGUGAAGAGGGAAACAACCCAGACCGCCGGCUAAGGUCCCAAAGUUCUGGUUAAGUGGGAAAACCGAUGUGGGAAGGCUCAGACAGCUAGGAUGUUGGCUUAGAAGCAGCCAUCAUUUAAAGAAAGCGUAAUAGCUCACUAGUCGAGUCGGCCUGCGCGGAAGAUGUAACGGGG